AACCUCCGCAAUGUGAGAAAUCGCGACGGGGGGAUCCCAAGUGCCAUUCUUAACGGGAUGGCUUUUCAUUAGUGUAAAGAGCUUUUGGAAUAAGGGCUGGGCAAGACCGGUGCCAGCCGCCGCGGUAACACCGGCAGCUCUAGUGGUAACAAUUUUUAUUGGGCCUAAAGCGUCCGUAGCCGGUUUAAUAAGUCUCUGGUGAAAUCCUGUAGCUUAACUGUGGGAAUUGCUGGAGAUACUAUUAGACUUGAGAUCGGGAGAGGUUAGAGGUACUCCCAGGGUAGAGGUGAAAUUCUGUAAUCCUGGGAGGACCGCCUGUUGCGAAGGCGUCUAACUGGAACGAUUCUGACGGUGAGGGACGAAAGUUAGGGGCGCGAACCGGAUUAGAUACCCGGGUAGUCCUAACUGUAAACGAUGCGGACUUGGUGUUGGGGUGGCUUUGAGCUGCUCCAGUGCCGAAGGGAGCUGUUAAGUCCGCCGCCUGGGAAGUACGGUCGCAAGACUGAAACUUAAAGGAAUU
rnacentral:rRNA from 1 species